ensembl:snoRNA SNORD58 Small nucleolar RNA SNORD58
CUGUAGUGAUGACAUCUUAGGACACCUUUGGAGUAACGAUGAAAAUAAUUGUUUUCUGAGCAGC